rnacentral:lncRNA from 1 species
GCUGAUUGAAUAUAUUAUGAAUUGAUGCGAUGACAUUUGGUAUUCCUGCUUAAUUGUUCGUUAAUCUGAACAUAUAUUUUGUUUAAUUUUGGAUACUACUACCCUGUAAAUCUAUAUGGUUGAUAGGAAACAUGUGUAGAGAUGAAGACACUCUAGAUUGUUUUAAUUUCGAUUUUGACAUUAAUUUGAAAAUCAAGGAAAAACUUUCAUUCGAUUAGUCGUUUUAUAUUCGUUUUGAGUAAACUACUGGUCAUUUAUGCAUUCACUGAACACUUGGUAGGCGACGUUAAAACGUUAAAGACGUUGAACGUUUUAGGUUUUCUUUAUGAGAAUAGCUUGGCAUAGCUCAGAAGGUAGGAAUUGAGGCUGAUGUAUAUGCUUCUGAUCGGCAUUCUUUUCCCCAUUAUCAAAUAUGUUUUCAUUUUUUUAUUUGAUAUUCUACUUCAGUUGAUUUUCAUGAAUGUGUUUGAUGUUCUACUUCAAUUGCUUUUCAUGAAUGUGUUUGAUGUUCUACUUCAAUUGCUUUUCAUGAAUGUGUUUGAUGUUCUACUUCAAUUGCUUUUCAUGAAUGUGUUUGAUGUUCUACUUCAAUUGCUUUUCAUGAAUGUGAUAUGGGAUUAGUUGUGUUUAUAAUAUCUCU